rnacentral:rRNA from 1 species
AGAGUUUGAUCCUGGCUCAGGAUGAACGCUGGCGGCGUGCUUAACACAUGCAAGUCGAACGAUGAUCCCAGCUUGCUGGGGGAUUAGUGGCGAACGGGUGAGUAACACGUGAGUAACCUGCCCUUAACUCUGGGAUAAGCCUGGGAAACUGGGUCUAAUACCGGAUAUGACUCCUCAUCGCAUGGUGGGGGGUGGAAAGCUUUAUUGUGGUUUUGGAUGGACUCGCGGCCUAUCAGCUUGUUGGUGAGGUAAUGGCUCACCAAGGCGUCGACGGGUAUCCGGCCUGAUAUGGUGUCCGGCCACACUGGGUCUUUAUACACGGCCCAUACUCCUACGGGACGCAGCUGUGGGUCUAUAUUGUCACAAUGGUCCGCUUGCCUGAUGCAGCGACGCCUCGUGAGGUAUGACGGCCCUUCGGGUUGUUAACCUCUUUCACUAUGGAAGAAGCGCAAUUUACUGUACCUGCCUAAGAAUCGCCGGCUUAACUACGUGCCUGCUUCCGCGGUAAUACGU